ACAAACUUGGUCAUUUAGAGGAAGUAAAAGUCGUAACAAGGUUUCCGUAGGUGAACCUGCGGAAGGAUCAUUACCGAGUGCGGGCCCUCUGGGUCCAACCUCCCACCCGUGUCUAUUGUACCUUUGUUGCUUCGGCGGGCCCGCCGUCAGGCCGCCGGGGGGCAUUCGCCCCCGGGCCCGCGCCCGCCGAAGACCCCAACACGAACACUGUUCUGAAUUGCAGUCUGAGUUGAUUAUUAAAUCAAUUAAAACUUUCAACAACGGAUCUCUUGGUUCCGGCAUCGAUGAAGAACGCAGC
rnacentral:misc_RNA from 1 species